rnacentral:tRNA from 1 species
UCCCUGGUCGUCCAGUGGUUAAAACAAUGCUUCCACUGCAGGGGCACAGGUUUGAUUCCUGUUCAGGGAA